CCUGCUCGCUCGCUCGCUGGUUUGUCUUCCAGGCGACGGCUGCAAACACAAGCUCAUUGAUCGGCUCAAAGAUGCGGAAGUGAGUCGCUCGUUCGGCGAGGCAUCGAGAUGAAAGACGACGAGGCCUUUGCUGCUCCUCCACUAAUAGUCUCGACCAACUUCAAAAGUCAAAGACAAGAUAAGUUGCAGUUCUCGCACUCAUUUCAGUCCAAGCGCAAAUCAACGAUUGCACUCACAAGAAUCCUUAACCCAAGGUUAAAACAAAAACACCUAACAUUUCAGCAAACAAUAUAAAACCAAUAAAACACCGAGUGCCGGAGUAGAAUAGAAAGAAAUCAAACAAGCUUGCAACUCUCGGUGAGGGAGCACCAAGGAGAAAAAAAGGAUUUUUAAAAGUGAUUUCAAAACUGCAAGGGUGGGGCUUGGUUCCACAAAUUGGGAGCCAUUAACGCAAUCCCGUAUUUUCUCUUAUUUUGUGAACUAACUACCAAAAAAUCACACCUAACGCAAAAUGUGUUUUUCAGAUUAGACAACCCGAUUUUUGUCAGCCUCUUCCUGAAUCAAGUCUUCACCUGUGCACCAAGACGACAGAACAGUUCAUGCAUGUCAAGCAAGCUCCCCCUGUCGGUGGUGUGUUUUUAACGUGAGGCCCGAUGGGACCCUGACGGCGCUCCUCUUCCCAUCCCGGCCGACCUCCUCCUCAGCCUCCUGACAGUUCCAGGAAUCCAAAACUGUGUGGGGAAUACGGGAUGUCUACUCAACCCGCAGUCCACAUGUCCUUGUUCCUGACAGCGCCGGAAACUCCCACUUGCUUGUCACAUCCUGCCCCCUGUUGGAGCAACGAGUGCUAGUUUGCUCAACCGCAGAGACGGGAGGAAGAGAUUUGAAACUCAGACCACGGACGAGACAGCCUAUCAGUAUUCAGCGGAGAAAGUGUACCUAAUGUUGUGGCCACUGAUGGCCCAACGGGACGGGACGGGACGUUUCUCUUUUUUGGAUGUGACGGAAUCUCCCCACUUGUUUGAGUGGUCCACUCCUCCGUCGCCCUUCCUCUCCCUCAUUCUUUCGCUCCGGCUGCUCAUCAGCAUUUGAAAGGCAACUUUGACAGCGAGAAAGAAAAAGUGUGGAGGGAGGGAGCGAGCGAGCGAGGUAGCUGGCUGGCUUGCUUGCUUGGUUGCUCGGUUGGUUGGGGUGCGGGGUGG